UACGUAGGUGGCGAGCGUUGUCCGGAUUUACUGGGCGUAAAGGGCGUGCAGGCGGUUUGUUAAGUGCAGGGUGAAAGCUCCCGGCUCAACUGGGAGAGGUCCUUGCAUACUGGCAAACUCGAGGGAGGCAGAGGAAAGUGGAAUUCCCGGUGUAGUGGUGAUAUGCGUAGAUAUCGGGAGGAACACCUGUGGCGAAGGCGGCUUUCUGGGCCUUACCUGACGCUGAGGCGCGAAAGCUAGGGGAGCGAACAGG
rnacentral:rRNA from 1 species